rnacentral:sRNA from 1 species
CGCAAUUUUUAAAUGAAUGUUUCUUACAAAAUAAUAUUAAUGUACCCAUUGUGUGUUAUUGCAAAUAUUUGCAAACGGAGCCGUGCGCCAGGCGCACUUCGAAUUCCAAGCACCGUUCUAAGUCUAAGUGAACCAAGCAACAAUAAUAAGUAAAUUUGUAUUCAUAUCAACAUUUUAUGUACAUGCAAAUACAAUAAGAAUUUUUUUUGCCGCUCUCUAUGUUUCGUUGCUUCUACAAAAUUAACGGAUAUUUAUUGUGCCCUCUCUCGCCCUCUCUUUCAUCCACUCACUGCAAACCUAGCUCAGAGCUGGUCGGGCAGAAGCAAAGCGACAAGGAUAGACAAACGCAAUAAAGAAAUACGGUUACUUCUAUACAGUGGCGGCAAAUUCCAA